rnacentral:rRNA from 1 species
UACGUAGGGGGCUAGCGUUGUCCGGAAUCAUUGGGCGUAAAGCGCGCGUAGGCGGCCCGGUAAGUCCGCUGUGAAAGUCAAAGGCUCAACCUUUGAAUGUCAGCGGAUACUGCCGGGCUAGAGUCCGGAAGAGGCGAGUGGAACUCCUGGUGUAGCGGUGGAAUGCGCAGAUAUCAGGAAGAACACCAACGGCGAAGGCAGCUCGCUGGGACGGAACUGACGCUGAGGCGCGAAAGCGUGGGGAGCGAACGGG